GAGUUUGAUCAUGGCUCAGGAUGAACGCACAAGACGUGCCUAACACAUGCAAAUCGAAUGAAAAGAAUUAAUUAUUGUUUUCAUGGUGAACGGGUGAGUAACACAUAAGAAUCAGCUUUUAGAUAAGGCAUAAAAGAGUAAUAUCUUGGUAAUUCCUUAUAUGCGCAGCAGUGCUUAAAAAGGGGAGUCCCGUCUAAAAACGAGCUUAUGCCUGAUUAGCUAGUUGGCGAGUUAAAAGCUCACCAAGGCGAAGAUCAGUAGCUGGCCUGAGAGGGCGGCCAGCCACAUUGGGACUGAGACACGGCCCAAACUCCUACGGGAGGCAGCAGUGGGGAAUCUUCUGCAAUGGGCGCAAGCCUGACAGAGCGGCGUCGUGUGAAGGAAGAAGGCCUGAAAUAGGUUGUAAACUUCUUUUACUGAGUAAUGAAUAAUGACAACGCAGUAAAAAAGUAUCGGCUAACUCCGUGCCAGCAGCCGCGGUAAUACGGGGGAUGCAAGCGUUAUCCGGAAUCACUGGGCGUAAAGCGUCUGUAGGUGGUUUAGUGUGUUCUUAGUUAAAUUAUGAAGCCUAACUUCAUGAAAAGUAAGAAAACUAUUAGACUUGAGUACGAUAGGGGUAAGAGGAAUUCUUCGAGAAGUAGUGAAAUGCGAAGAUACGAAGGAGAAGAUCAUAAGCGAAGGCUUCUUACUGGGUCGUAACUGACACUGAGAGACGAAAGCUAGGGGAGCGAAUGGGAUUAGAUACCCCAGUAGUCCUAGCUGUAAACGAUGGAUAUUCGGUGCCGGAAAUUUUAUUAGAACAUUUCGGUACCCUAGCUAACGCGUUAAAUAUCCCGCCUGAGGAGUACGCUCGCAAGGGUGAAACUCAAAGGAAUUGACGGGGGCUCGCACAAGCGGUGGAGCAUGUGGUUUAAUUCGAUGCAAAGCGAAGAACCUUACCAGGGCUUGACAGUAUGUAU
rnacentral:rRNA from 1 species